GACGAACGCUGGCGGCGUGCCUAAUACAUGCAAGUAGAACGCUGAAGGAGGAGCUUGCUUCUCUGGAUGAGUUGCGAACGGGUGAGUAACGCGUAGGUAACCUGCCUGGUAGCGGGGGAUAACUAUUGGAAACGAUAGCUAAUACCGCAUAAUAGCAGUUGUUGCAUGACAACUGUUUGAAAGGUGCAAUUGCACCACUACCAGAUGGACCUGCGUUGUAUUAGCUAGUUGGUGGGGUAACGGCUCACCAAGGCGACGAUACAUAGCCGACCUGAGAGGGGGAUCGGCCACACUGGGAAUGAGACACGGCCCAGACUCCUACGGGAGGCAGCAGUAGGGAAUCUUCGGCAAUGGACGGAAGUCUGACCGAGCAACGCCGCGUGAGUGAAGAAGGGUUUCGGAUCGUAAAGCUCUGUUGUAAGAGAAGAACGAGUGUGAGAGUGGAAAGUUCACACUGUGACGGUAUCUUACCAGAAAGGGACGGCUAACUACGUG
rnacentral:rRNA from 1 species